GUGACAGCUCUGUGGGACUGUUGUACUACAUGAAGAUGCAGGUGGGACUGCAAACAUCCUCCGGAGGAUCCUCCUGGUGGGAAGGUGGCCUCAGCAGUCCCGUGGCCAGGUCAGCCUCCAGCCAAAUCUUCCACAUUUGAAGCACUUACCUGGGCUCAGCCCCUGCCUGCAAACACCGGGUUACAUGGCUGAUUCCUGCCUCUCACACUGGGGUCAGAGCAAGUGGUGCAUGGCAGGAGACAACUGAAAAGGUCAUGAAACAAGCAGCUAUUGACUGGUGACUUGUGCUGGGAGGCAGCAGGCGAGUAACCUUGCUCCAUUUUAUGGUAGUGCUUCACCUGCAAGUGCCCGCUGUGAGUGAAAUUGCCUGGGCUGGUGCUGUCCUUUAUCAAUUUCACUCUCAGCAGGCUCCGCAGGUGAAGCAUUUCAUUGUGGGAGUCAGACUCUGCUUUCUCCUUGACAGCCUGAAAUAGAAAGUGGAGAAAGGGAAAAAGUAAUAAGUGGAGAAAAGCAAGACAGAGAACCACAAAAAGCAUGAUGUGUGUUAAAUGGCAAUGCAGUGGAACUAGCCCUUUAAAUUUGGGAGAAUUUGACACUGAAAAGAGUUUUGCUUAGCUAUCAUGAGCUUGGCACUUGGAAGUAAAAGAAGUGAAAGGACAUUGCAAUUAGAAGUGAAAAAUUAUUGUGAAUAAUAUUAUGUUUAAAAUACUAUGUAAGAUGCUGUGGGUAGAACUAAAAGAUAAUUUUCUGGAUCAUCAGCCCAACAGAAUUUUUGCGGCUGUUUCUGGGAGAAAUCCAAGGAAAAUUUCUUUUUUCUUGUUUUUGUGAAUUCUGCACUUCAGAUUUAUAUGCCUUGUGUUUUGUGGAUUUUGUUGAGGUUGUUUUGUUGCCCUUUCUUAAGACAAUGUGUGUGACUUGCAGUUUUGCUGGUUUCCUGAUGCCACUUUCAUUGGCUUCAGAGAGAAAUUCAGCAGCCAAGAUGAGAACUGCAAAAUCAGUAUCUGCAUCUGAACAUCUGACUGCCUGUUACUGGGGAAAAAAGUGCAUUGGUUCAAGGAUGGGGAUGCCAACACAACUUUGAAGUUCCCAGAUUCAUCUCUUUCCAGUCAGUUACAUGCUAGGGCUUACUGGGAGUGGGGGACAGCACAGAGCCAAAACAUUGGAGCUGGUUCCUGGUUCCUAGUGGAAUUGCUUGCAUAGAGACAAGGAGUCUGAUUGCAGAGCCACAUGCAUCCUUCUUUAACUGCAGUGAGCUUAUACCUUGAACCAGAUCCCUGUGUGCAGCAGGGAACAUGGGAAAGUGAUGCCUGUAAAUCCUGUAGGAGUUCCACAGCACUGGAAACUCUGUCCUAGAUAUGCGUUCAGGAGGCAAUUACAAUGUCUAGCCCAUCCCUGAAGUUUUGUGGGAAAAGAGCAGCAGGAAAAGAGGCAUGUGCAGCUCUACCUGGUGGCUUGUGGUUUGCUGCUGGUUAAUGUGGGAAAACUGGAUGGGAGGCUGUUGCUGUUGAGGAAGGUGAUCUGAGUGGAAAAGAUCACAAAUCAGCAGAGCUCUUGAGUUUCAGGAGAGGAGGGAGCAGAAGCAGUGGACUAAUGAAUUUAAACCAGAAGACUUCAACACACUCAAAGAAUUGGUAAAUGCAGUCUUGUGGAAAGGAAUUUUAAUGGGAAAGGGAGCCCUGGAGAAUUCUCAGCUCCUAAAAGAGGCCCUGAAGAUGGGAUGAAAAACUGCUCUGAUGCAGGAGGCUCCCAGCAGGAACGGGGACAGGCCAGUGUGACCACCUAGGAAGAUGACCUGACAGCCAAAAAGAUGGUAUAAAAGGUGGCUUGCAGGCAGGCAGUACAAGGAAGGCCUCUGAUGCUAUCCCAUAAAACACUCUGAUGGGUAAACUAGGGGCAUGUGGUCUUCAUUAAACUACUGCAGAGUGGGGCAGAACAGAGGCAAGGGAUCAGCCAAGUAUGUGGAAGGCAGAAGAGGAAAGAAGGUGUGGAGAGAGACGGUGGCACAAAAUGGGGUAACUGUUUCCUCUAAGACUAACAAAAUAAUGUCCAGACUAAAAACUUAGCACAGUAUUACAGAUCUACCGUUGUAGUUUCAUGCAAAUGGCUUUGCCUUCUUAGCAAUGGUGUGUGUGACUGUAAACAGAACAGGAUUUGCUGGAUCAGUCAAACUGCCCUAAGCAGACAAAAAUAUUAAGAUCCUUUGCAUGAAGGUUUUUGUUUUCCCAAGUAAGGGAGAAAAACAAGCAAACCUACUGCAACUCCUCCCAUAAUGAAUUCCCUUUUGUACUUUAGAGGGUGGAGGUCUCUGAGCACCCAAAUUUGAAUGACUAGAAACAACCAAGAGGUGUAUUUUUCUACUGGGUAGACUGCAAGAGGUGGUUUUGCCAGCUUCCACACACAAACUGGUUUAAUAAGGUUAUGUGGCCUCAUUUGCAAAUAAACUUAUUUCUUAGGUGCUCUCAUUACCCUUUUCAAAGUGAUGUGUUAGGAGUGCUUAGAUAUUUCAGGGAAAAGAGUACACCAGGAAACAUAGGUCCCCCUAUACAUUUUUGUAUAAGUUGUCUGCUGAGAUAAUGUUUAAAUUAUCACAUGCUUUACAAUUUUUUUAUAAAUACGUCCCAGUCAAUAACAGGAUGGAGGUAAGUGUAAAACUUAAUUAAAUUAGCAAUAAAUGGGAUUAGAAUGCCAAAAAUUGAUGCAAAACACCAGGUAGGGGAAUUAUUAUCUCUGCUACUCUGUCUUAUCAAUACAUUGUAAACCAGAGUAAUGCUGGAAAUUUUGAAUUACAUGCUGAUUUAUGUCUUCCAUAACUCACCAAAGAUAAUAAGAUUAUGUAAAAGACAGAUAAAUGAAAAACUGCCUCUUCAAUUUAUGAUUGGUGGGAAGAACGUUGUUCAGAUGUGAAAAAAUCCAUGCAUGUUAUUUACAUAGGAAAGAGACAGAAAUGCUUGGGAAGUCCUGGUGAAAUGAAGAUGGCUCUCUCAGUGAACUUUUCUCUCUGGAAAUUACAGUCUGUUCCUUGGGAGGUUUACUUACCAUGGGAUGUAUGGGACACUGUGCAAAUGGGCAGGAGCAGGAAACAGAGGCUGUAAUGAAAAGAAUCACAUCUGACAUGUGAAUUUGCUAACAAAGCAAAUCUCAGUAUACCUGUAAUGAAAAUCAUCUCUAAAUACUCCUAAUGGUGAGUAAGUCUGAAAAGGUUACAUGACACUGCUCAGAAAGAGGUGUUUGUUUGCCAUUCUUGGCUUUGGAUGAGCAGGAAUACAGAGCACUGCUGCAGAGAAAAUGGAAAAUAAUAUAACCCUGUCAACACCAAGAAUUUUGCAAGUCAGCUUUCUUUUUCAUUCUCAACUGUCUCAACUUUAUUUUUCAGUUUCAAUGGCCAAGUCAGCUUUCUUUUUCAGUUUCAAUAGCAUUUCAAUAGCAUAGUUUCUGUUUUGCAACAUGCAGAACAGUUACAGUCCUAGAUUAAAAUAAAAUAAAAUUUAAGUGUGGAAAGGGUAACUACUAUUGUGACAUUAUAUGGUGCUGCAGCUGUGUUCACAGAUACUGAAAUUGGGUGCACUGGCCAGUAUGUUGUACAUUGGAUGCUUGACAACACUGUUUCAGCAAGGAUCAGCUUCUGUACUGUUCCUCCUUCAUAUAAAUGAGUAAGUGCAGAGUGGUAGUCUGGCCGGCUGAUAGUGCAUUUGACACAGCAAUCUAUGGAUUCAUAUGGUUUGUAAGACCUCUUGGUACUUUAUUUGUGUCUGAAGCAUGUUGACUGCUUCA
ensembl:lncRNA